rnacentral:rRNA from 1 species
GGCCGCGGGAAUUCGAUUCAGGCCUAACACAUGCAAGUCGAGCGGUAGAGAGAAGCUUGCUUCUCUUGAGAGCGGCGGACGGGUGAGUAAUGCCUAGGAAUCUGCCUGGUAGUGGGGGAUAACGUUCGGAAACGGACGCUAAUACCGCAUACGUCCUACGGGAGAAAGCAGGGGACCUUCGGGCCUUGCGCUAUCAGAUGAGCCUAGGUCGGAUUAGCUAGUUGGUGAGGUAAUGGCUCACCAAGGCUACGAUCCGUAACUGGUCUGAGAGGAUGAUCAGUCACACUGGAACUGAGACACGGUCCAGACUCCUACGGGAGGCAGCAGUGGGGAAUAUUGGACAAUGGGCGAAAGCCUGAUCCAGCCAUGCCGCGUGUGUGAAGAAGGUCUUCGGAUGUAAAUCAAUUGAAGUUGGGAGGAAGGGCAUUACCUAAUACGUUA